ACUCCUACGGGAGGCAGCAGUGGGGAAUAUUGCACAAUGGGGGAAACCCUGAUGCAGCCAUGCCGCGUGUGUGAAGAAGGCCUUCGGGUUGUAAAGCACUUUCAGUAGGGAGGAAGGUAGUGUAGUUAACACCUGCAUUAUUUGACGUUAGCGACAGAAGAAGCACCGGCUAACUCCGUGCCAGCAGCCGCGGUAAUACGGAGGGUGCAAGCGUUAAUCGGAAUUACUGGGCGUAAAGCGUGCGCAGGCGGUCUGUUAAGCGAGAUGUGAAAGCCCCGGCUCAAGCCUGGAACUGGCAUUUCGAACUGGCAGUACUAGAGU
rnacentral:rRNA from 1 species